AGCUCCAAUAGCGUAUAUUAAAGUUGUUGUGGUUAAAAAGCUCGUAGUUGAACCUUGGGCCUGGCUGGCCGGUCCGCCUCACCGCGUGUACUGGUCCGGCCGGGCCUUUCCCUCUGUGGAACCCCAUGCCCUUCACUGGGUGUGGCGGGGAAACAGGACUUUUACUGUGAAAAAAUUAGAGUGCUCCAGGCAGGCCUAUGCUCGAAUACAUUAGCAUGGAAUAAUAGAAUAGGACGUGUGGUUCUAUUUUGUUGGUUUCUAGGACCGCCGUAAUGAUUAAUAGGGACAGUCGGGGGCAUCAGUAUUCAAUUGUCAGAGGUGAAAUUCUUGGAUUUAUUGAAGACUAACUACUGCGAAAGCAUUUGCCAAGGAUGUUUUCA
rnacentral:rRNA from 1 species